GGGUGCGAUCAUACAAGCACUAUUGCACCGGAUCCUAUCAGAACUCCGCAGUUAAGUGUGCUUGGGCGAGAGCAGUACUAGGGUGGGUGACCUCCUAGGAAGUCCUUGUGUUGCACCCC
rfam:Beta vulgaris subsp. vulgaris 0533.scaffold01098.con0002.1, whole genome shotgun sequence.